AAUCAACGCUGGCGGCGUGCCUAACACAUGCAAGUCGAGCGAGAAAGUGGGGGCAACUCCAUGAGUACAGCGGCGACUGGGUGAGUAACACGUGACUAACCUACCCUUGAGUGGGGAAUAACUCCGGGAAACCGGAGCUAAUACCGCAUAACACCGCAAGGUCAAAGGAGCAAUCCGCUUAAGGAGGGGGUCGCGGUUGAUUAGCUAGUUGGUGGGGUAAUGGCCCACCAAGGCGAUGAUCAAUAGCCGGCCUGAGAGGGCGCACGGCCACACUGGAACUGAAACACGGUCCAGACUCCUACGGGAGGCAGCAGUGGGGAAUUUUGCGCAAUGGGGGAAACCCUGACGCAGCAACGCCGCGUGAAGGAUGAAGGUCUUUGGAUUGUAAACUUCUUUCGUCCGGGACGAUUAUGACGGUACCGGAAGAAGAAGCCCCGGCUAACUUCGUGCCAGCCGCCGCCGUAAUAC
rnacentral:rRNA from 1 species